UUAAGUAUAUAAGAGUAUAUGACGGAUGUCUAGGUUUCUAUAAGCGAUGAAAGACGUGAUAAGCUGCGAUAAGCUUCGUGUAGAUGCAAACAAUCUGUAAUACGAAGAUUUCUGAAUGGGGAAACCCGAUCCUUUUGGAUCUUAUAGCAUACCCGGUGAACUGAAACAUCUAAGUAACCGGAGGAAAAGAAAACAAUAGUGAUUUCCGUAGUAGUGGCGAGCGAACUGGAAAAAGCCCAAACUGUACUUGUUUUUGCAAGUACAGGGUUGUAGGACUUUUAUAAUUUUAAUUAAACUUAGUAGAAUAAAUUGGAAAAUUUAACCAUAGAGGGUGAUAGUCCCGUAGAUAAAAAGUUUAUGAUAAAGAAAAGUAUCCUGAGUACCACGGAACAUGUGUAAUUUUGUGGGAAUCUGCCAGAACCAUCUGGUAAGGCUAAAUAUAAAUAGAAAACCGAUAGUGAACUAGUACCGUGAGGGAAAGAUGAAAAGUAUUCUGAAUAAGAAAGUGAAAUAGAACCUGAAAUCAUAUAUUUACAAGCGGUAGAAGUCUUCGGACGACUGCGUGCCUUUUGCAUAAUGAGCCUACGAGUUGCUCUUAUCUAGCAAGGUUAAGUCUAAUUGACGGAGCCAAAGCGAAAGCGAGUCUUAACAGGGCGUUUAGUUAGGUGAGGCAGACGCGAAACCAAGUGAUCUACCCAUGACCAGGUUGAAGCUAAGGUAAAACUUAGUGAAGGACCGAACCAGUUGACGUUGAAAAGUCUUUGGAUGAGUUGUGGGUAGGGGUGAAAGGCUAAUCAAACUUGGAAAUAGCUCGUUCUCCCCGAAAUGCAUUUAGGUGCAGCCUCGGGAUUUAUUGUCGUAGAGGUAGAGAUACUGGUAAGGCUAGGGGGCUUCACCGCCUACCAAACUUUGUCAAACUCCUAAUACUACGACAUUUGCCCGGGAGUGAGGGCAUGGGUGCUAAGGUCCAUGUCCGAGAGGGAAAGAACCCAGACCAUCAGUUAAGGUCCCAAAAUAUAUGCUAAGUUGAUUUAACGAGGUUCAAUUGCAUUGACAGCUAGGAUGUUGGCUUGGAAGCAGCCAUUCAUUUAAAGAGUGCGUAACAGCUCACUAGUCGAGCGAUUGAGCAUGGAUGAUAAUCGGGCAUAAGCAUAUUACCGAAACUAUGGAUUAAUGGUAGGGGAGCGUUUUAGUUGUGUUGAAGUCGUUUCGUGAGAAACGGUGGAACGGCUAAAAAUGAAAAUGUAGGCAUAAGUAACGAAAAAUAGAUUAUAAAUCUAUUCGCCAAUUAACUAAGGUUUCCUGUUCAACGCUAAACGGAGCAGGGUUAGUCGGGACCUAAGGCAAACCCAAAUGGGGUAGUCGAUGGAUAUCAGGUUAAUAUUCCUGAACUAGUUAGAGAGGACGGAGAGAUGAGCUUUAUACGUACAGACGGAAUUGUACGUCAUACCUAGUAGGUUUCGAACGGAAAUAAGGUGAUUUUCUUCCAAGAAAAGCCUCUAACAUUAAACUCGUACUGUAAACCGACACAGGUAGUUAAGGAGAGAAUCCUAAGGCGAUCGAGAUAGUCAUAGCUAAGGAACUAGGCAAAAUCGCCUCGUAACUUCGGGAGAAGAGGCGCCCCACUUAUGUGGGGCCGCAGUGAAUAGGCCCAGGCGACUGUUUAUCAAAAACACAUGACUUUGCUAAAUUGAAAGAUGAUGUAUAAGGUCUGACACCUGCCCGGUGCCGGAAGGUUAAAAGGAGAUGUUAUCCUCGGAGAAGCAUUGAAUUGAAGCCCCGGUAAACGGCGGCCGUAACUAUAACGGUCCUAAGGUAGCGAAAUUCCUUGUCGGGU
rnacentral:rRNA from 1 species